UUGACCCCGUCCCUUCGUAGCUAUUUUUUCAAAAAAAAACCCUGUCUCAGCCUGAAGACACCUCUUCCGUCGUCUCGCGAAGCGACGGCUUCGUCCCGUGCUCCGAUGCAGAGGAGACGACUCGAGCAGCGCUGUACGGGCCGUCUCCUCGUCUCGACGGUGCACGGAUCCCGGGCGCUCGCGCGCGCAGUUGAUGUUUGGGCGCGCGCGGGAGGGAGCAAUCCCGCCAAUUUCGUCUCCCUAUAUCACCGGUGAAGGCGACACAGCUCCAUUCUUCUUCCUCGUCAGGCACCCCAAACUUUGGCGGCCGCGAUGUUGAGCGCCUCGGCUAGGAAGAGCAAGCUAGCUGCUGCAAACAAGAAGAGCAAGGGCGCCCCGGCUGCUGCGUUGUCGGUGGCGGCGGCGGCGGUGUCGUCGUUCCCGGCGCACACCUUCGGUCGCGGAACUGUCUCGACGGCGGCGACCCGCAACCUCGGCAACGGCACGGCGACGCCUCCAUCCUCCAUUGAUAGAUCUGGUGGAGGUGCCUUCCCCGGCACAGCGACGGCUCCAUCAUCGAACAGUGGGUUUCCAUUCCCCCCUUUCACCAUCUACUGCUUGGUGGGAUUCGGCCGGCGUUGAUCCGGUUUCUCCUUCGUUUGUGCGUUCAGCAGCUUGGGAUCCAUCUUGGGAUAAAGACCCACGUCCACCUCGUGGGUUUAUGAGCUACUUUGGAAAUCAGCCACACAAUUUUCAUUUGGUUGGUACACCUGUUCACAACCAUGAAGGAAUUUCACCGGCAGAAGUAGAGAUAUUAUCUGAGCAGGAGCCUGAACUAGUUGACAGUGAUGGUGAAAUUGCCAGGACUGAGAAGCGGAUCAUGUGGACUGAGGAAGAGGAUGUUAGGUUGAUGAGCUCUUGGAUAGAAAAUUCAACAGACUCUUGUUGUGGCGCCGAUAGGGGUGGUAACCAAUACUGGGGCGAUGUUGUUGAACAGUGCAACAGGACGACCCCAUCUCAUAGGAAAAGGAAUGUGAAGCUAUCUAAAUAGAGGAUGGCAUUUUUCUGGUUAUCUGAAUGUUAUCUACCUGAUGCUGUGAUGAGUUGUCUACCUGAUGCUAUGAUGAGUAGCUACUAGUUUCUGAACAUGCUUCUAGUUACCUGAAUGCUACUAGUGAAGUGUUUCUCAGUUACCUGAAUGCUUCUAUGUUCUGAAAUGAGUAGCCUAUUUGUUCCACUGCUUCUAGUUAUCUGAAAGUUUCUGAAUGCUUCUAGUUAAGUUUCUGUGUGAACAUGUUG